AAUUGGGCUAUGGAACCGCUCAUAUGGCACCGGUUAAGUCACUUGUCUGGUUUCUUAGAUUAAGAAUCUGUUUUCUAAGAAAUCGGGUUUCUUAGAUAUUUAAUAAGACACCAGUCACUAGAGAAAUCUGGUGCCUUAGAUACAGUGAGGCACCGUUGUUCUUUAAAUUAUGGUUUCUUCUCAUUUAUAAAUAUUAUUUUUUCAGUUUUUUUAAUUUUUUUGAAAGAUUUAAUUCAUGAAACCCUAUUUUUUUCUCUCCUCAGCCGUCCUCCUCUAAUUUACCUACUCUUUUUUCAAUUCACCGCUUAUUUUUUUAAAGAAAAACCUUUUAUUCUCUUUUCAGUUGAUCUGAAGAAGUGAUGCAACAAUGGUGAGGUACAACAGAGCUAUUACAGUGGUCUUAUCUUACAACCAUCUCUUUCAAGUUGAAUUGAUUUGCCGUUAGUGUCCGCGGUAUCGACACCGUUGUUCUUGGGGUUGAGAAGAAAUUGAUUUGCCGCAAAACUUCAAUAUUCCAGGUUUGCAAGAACGAACUCAAGAGACAAGAAGCAUAAGUGGGUUACUAGGAAUCUUAUAGAUUUUAACUCCUACUAGUAUACUUGUAGUAUAAGAUGUGAGACUUUAGCUAAGAAACUGUCAGAUUCAUAUUGUAAUAGUUAUUUUUUAAUUUAUAAGUAAAUUCAUGUGUAACAUCAUUAUUGAUUUUGUUUGUUUCAUAUACAAGUAUAAUUAUUUUUAUCAAUGGAAUGGUCAAUGAUUAAUUUUUAAAUAUAAAAUGUUUUAUGAUGUGAAUUGCUAAACAUCGCCUACAAAUUACCAACUAAAGCCCACACAUUUCCAUUGAAUUGACAAUAUUACCCUUGACCUAAAAAAAACACUCUCUCAUCACCCAAACAAAAAAAAUCUGUGCCACUUUCAUUCUACGUUUUUUUUAAAAAAAAAAAAUCAAAAUCCGGCAAUGUCGAGGCGGCAAGGCAAGGAAUUGGCGGCGGCGGCGGCGGAGGGAAGGAGGUCUCACGGUGGCAAGGUUGGUUUUUUUCCGUU